AGUUUUUUUUUUUUCCCCAAACAGAGGGGAUUUUUCAAAUUCCCCAUUACGGAGGAAAAGAAACCAACAGGGAUUGCCUUAGUAACGGCGAGUGAAGCGGCAAAAGCUCAAAUUUGAAAUCGGCCACCAGGUCGAGUUGUAAUUUGUAGAUUGUAUCUUGAGAGCGGAUUAAAGUCUGUUGGAACACAGCGCCUUAGAGGGUGACAGCCCCGUAAAAUCUAUUCUCAUUGUAAGAUACUUUCGAAGAGUCGAGUUGUUUGGGAAUGCAGCUCUAAGUGGGAGGUAAAUUCCUUCUAAAGCUAAAUAUUGACGAGAGACCGAUAGCGAACAAGUACUGUGAAGGAAAGAUGAAAAGCACUUUGAAAAGAGAGUGAAAAAGUACGUGAAAUUGUUAAAAGGGAAGGGUAUUGAAUCAGACUUGGUGCUGUUGUUCAACUGUGUUUCGGCAUAGUGUACUCAGCAGUACUAGGCCAAGGUGGGGUGUUUGGGAGUGAAAAAGAAGUNGGAACGUAACUCUUCGGAGUGUUAUAGCCUACUUUCAUAGCUCCUCAGGCGCCUCAGGACUGCGCUUCGGCAAGGACCUUGGCAUAAUGAUUCUAUACCGCCCGUCUAAAACCCCGGGGACCAAUCUUUUCCGGGUGGCAUGAGAAAGAGGAACAAAAAA
rnacentral:rRNA from 1 species